GAUGAACGCUGGCGGCGUGCCUAAUACAUGCAAGUCGAGCGAACAGAUAAGGAGCUUGCUCCUUUGACGUUAGCGGCGGACGGGUGAGUAACACGUGGAUAACCUACCUAUAAGACUGGGAUAACUUCGGGAAACGGGAGCUAAUACCGGAUAACAUAUUGAACCGCAUGGUUCAAUAGUGAAAGGCGGCUUUGCUGUCACUUAUAGAUGGAUCCGCUCCGUAUUAGCUAGUUGGUAAGGUAACGGCUUACCAAGGCAACGAUACGUAGCCGACCUGAGAGGGUGAUCGGCAACACUGGAACUGGGAAACGGUCCAGACUCCUAGGGGAGGCAGAGGUAGGGAAUCUUCCGCAAUGGGCGAAAGCCUGACGGAGAAACGCCGCGUGAGUGAUGAAGGUCUUCGGAUCGUAAAACUCUGUUAUAAGGGAAGAACAAAUGUGUAAGUAACUGUGCACAUCUUGACGGUACCUGAUCAGAAAGCCACGGCUAACUACGUG
rnacentral:rRNA from 1 species